CAAAUGAAUUGACGGGGCCCGCACAAGCGGUGGAGCAUGUGGUUAAUUCGAUGCAACGCGAAGAACCUUACCUGGGCUUGACAUCCCGAGAAUCCCCUGGAAACAGGGGAGUGCCUUUCGGGGAACUCGGAGACAGGUGCUGCAUGGCUGUCGUCAGCUCGUGUCGUGAGAUGUUGGGUUAAGUCCCGCAACGAGCGCAACCCUUGUCUUUAAUUGCCAGCAUUCAGUUGGGGCACUUUAAAGAGACUGCCGGUGUUAAGCCGGAGGAAGUGGGGAUGACGUCAAGUCCUCAUGGCCUUUAUGGCCAGGGCUACACACGUACUACAAUGGCCGGUACAAAGGGCAGCGACAUUGCGAGAUGGAGCGAAUCCCGAAAAGCCGGUCUCAGUCCGGAUUGGAGUCUGCAACUCGACUCCAUGAAGUUGGAAUCGCUAGUAAUCGUGGAUCAGCAUGCCCACGGUCGAAUACGUUCCGGGCCUU
rnacentral:rRNA from 1 species